UGGCGCGCAUCUCCAAUUGGUGAAUAGCAAGCGGCAUCGAGAGAGAGAGAGAGAUAGAGAGAGAAUGGCGUCUUCAUCCGCAAUUCCUACGAUCAGCAGCGGUCUGAGCUUCUACACACCACACUCUUCGUUCUCCAAUCAUCACCCUGCAAGUGUAUUCAAAUGCAAGUGGGGAUUGAGAAGCAAUGAGGAGACAAAAUUGCUCACCCAUAGAACAAAGAGCCAAGCAUUUCGUGUCUUGGCAAAUCCUAAUGUGUCUCCCGGGAAGGGUGAUUCAGUCAAAAAGGUGAUUAUGGUUGAUCCACUGGAAGCCAAGAGGCUAGCUGCCAAACAAAUGGCAGAAAUUAAAGCAAAACAGAAACUAAAAAGAAGACGCCAGAUUGAAGCAAUUAAUGGAGCAUGGGCUAUGAUUGGUCUUACAGCAGGCUUAGUCAUUGAAGGCCAGACUGGAAAUGGUAUUCUGUCUCAGUUGGCUGGGUAUUGGAGAGCCAUUGUCCAUUUUGUUAUCAGAUAGUCGUCCUUGUGGCAUUAAGGAGACUUGGAAGGAACUAUAUACAUGAAUCAUUCUUUGAAAUUGAAGAAGAAAUUAGGUGCAGGGGCAGCUUCCAAAUCCAUUGAAUGAGACUGUGUCAAUGUAGAUGUGGGAGAAGUAGUGAUGGAAAACGGGGCACACAAUGGAGGACCGGUGGAAGGUGUCGUUAUCCUGGCGCCUCUCUAGCUAGCAAUUCCUUGGAGGCUAAAGAAUGAUUAUUAGUAAUAAUAAUUAAAUAAGAAGAGAAUAGAUGAGAAGAAAAGAAAAGGAUUGGAUCAAUUUGAUGUCAAUUCAGCUCUCUGUACAUAUGUUCUUCCGUGGUUCAUCCAUGGAAGCAGCUUCCUAGGAAAAAGCAUUGCUCAAUCCCAACCCACAAAAAAAAAAAAAAAGACUUGUGGAGAUAAGCCAUACACACACUUGUGAUUUAUUAUUAAUAAUCCAAGGAGUUGGUCAGUCCAAUGAACCCAACCCAUCAAAUUUCUCGCACUUAUUAAGUCUUUUUCUCUUCCCCUCAUAAGUUUGAUUAGGUUGGGAGUUGAU